AGUCGAGGGGUAUGGUUCUUCGGAGCCAGAGACCGGCGCACGGGUGCGUAACGCGUAUGCAAUCUACCUUUUACAGCGGGAUAGCCCAGAGAAAUUUGGAUUAAUACCUCAUAGUAUAUAGAGUUGGCAUCAACACUAUAUUAAAGUCACAACGGUAAAAGAUGAGCAUGCGUCCCAUUAGCUAGUUGGUAAGGUAACGGCUUACCAAGGCUACGAUGGGUAGGGGUCCUGAGAGGGAGAUCCCCCACACUGGUACUGAGACACGGACCAGACUCCUACGGGAGGCAGCAGUGAGGAAUAUUGGACAAUGGGCGCAAGCCUGAUCCAGCCAUGCCGCGUGCAGGAUGACGGUCCUAUGGAUUGUAAACUGCUUUUAUACGAGAAGAAACACUCCUUCGUGAAGGAAUUUGACGGUAUCGUAAGAAUAAGGAUCGGCUAACUCCGUGCCAGCAGCCGCGGUAAUACGGAGGAUCCAAGCGUUAUCCGGAAUCAUUGGGUUUAAAGGGUCCGUAGGCGGUCUUGUAAGUCAGUGGUGAAAGCCCAUCGCUCAACGGUGGAACGGCCAUUGAUACUGCUGGACUUGAAUUAUUAGGAAGUAACUAGAAUAUGUAGUGUAGCGGUGAAAUGCUUAGAGAUUACAUGGAAUACCAAUUGCGAAGGCAGGUUACUACUAAUUGAU
rnacentral:rRNA from 1 species